rnacentral:rRNA from 1 species
UAAAACGUAGGAGGCAAGCGUUAUCCGGAGUUACUGGGCGUAAAGCGUGCGUAGGCGGAUGGGUAAGUGGGUGGUGAAAGCGCUCGGCUAAACCGGGCGAGUGCCAUUCAGACUGCUCGUCUAGAGGCGGAUAGAGGGGUGCGGAAUUCCGGGUGUAGCGGUGAAAUGUGUAGAGAUCCGGAGGAACACCAGUGGUGCAAACGGCGCCCUGGGUCCGAACUGACGCUGAUGCACGAAAGCGUGGGGAGCGAACGGGAUUAGAGACCCCGGUAGUCCACGCCGUAAACGAUGUCAACUAGGUGUCCACUUGGCUACGGUCAAGGGGGUGCCGACGCUAACGCACUAAGUUGACCGCCUGGGGAGUACGGUCGCAAGGCUA